AACGGCCAUACCAUGCUGAAUAUACCGGUUCUCGUUAGAUCACCGAAGUCAAGCAUCAUUGGGCGCGGUCAGUACCUGGGUGGGUGACCACCUGGGAACACCACGUGCCGUU
rnacentral:rRNA from 1 species